UACAGAGGCCCCGAGCGUUACGCGGUGUCAUUGGGCUUAAAGGGUGCGUAGGCGGAAGCGAAAGUGUCCUGUGAAAUCCCACGGCUCAACCGUGGAAUAGCGGGGCAUACUCCGUUUCUUGAGGCCGGUAAGGGUUGCUGGAACUGUAGGUGUAGCGGUGAAAUGCGUAGAUAUCUACAGGAACGCCGAUGGUGAAGACGAGCAACUGGGCCGGUUCUGACGCUGAGGCACGAAAGCGUGGGGAUCAAACAGG
rnacentral:rRNA from 1 species